rnacentral:rRNA from 1 species
UACGUAGGUGGCAAGCGUUGUCCGGAUUUACUGGGCGUAAAGAGCGCGCAGGCGGUCGUUCAAGUCGCGUGUGAAAGCCCCCGGCUCAACUGGGGAGGGUCACGCGAUACUGAUCGACUCGAAGGCAGGAGAGGGUAGUGGAAUUCCCGGUGUAGUGGUGAAAUGCGUAGAUAUCGGGAGGAACACCCAGGGGGAAACCAGUCGACUGGGCAUCUACUGACGCUGAGGUGCGAGAGCGUGGGGAGCGAACCGG